rnacentral:rRNA from 1 species
GGACAGGGAGACAGGUGGUGCAUGGUUGUCGUCAGCUCGUGUCGUGAGAUGUUGGGUUAAGUCCCGCAACGAGCGCAACCCUACGUUUAGUUGCUAACGCGUGAAGGCGAGCACUCUAGACGAACUGCCGUUGACAAAACGGAGGAAGGUGGGGAUGACGUCAAAUCAUCAUGCCCCUUAUGUUCUGGGCUACACACGUGCUACAAUGGCCGGUACAGACGGACGCAAAGCCGCGAGGUGGAGCAAAUCCUAAAAAGCCGGUCUCAGUUCGGAUUGCAGGCUGCAAUUCGCCUGCAUGAAGUCGGAAUCGCUAGUAAUCGCAGGUCAGCAUACUGCGGUGAAUACGUUCCCGGGCCUU